rnacentral:lncRNA from 1 species
UUUAUGCCAAAACAGGGGGAAACACCGACCGACACGCGCGGCAGACAAAACCAGUGGCACUGUGCUCCCCUACAUGCCGUCCUGCGUGACUGGAGACGGAGUCCCUGUGCGACGUGAAGGGGAUCCGAUGCCGUGGCGGCGUGCCGGGUCGUGGAGGAGCGAGCGCGCAUGCCGUGCGCAUAGGACCAUGCGCGUGCACGAUGCAUGGAUCAUGG